GACCUCAAAUCGGGUGGGACUACCCGCUGAACUUAAGCAUAUCAAUAAGCGGAGGAAAAGAAACUAACAAGGAUUCCCCUAGUAACGGCGAGUGAAGAGGGAAAAGCUCAAAUUUUGAAUCUGGUGUCUUUGACUCCCGAGUUGUAAUCUAGAGAAGUGUUUUCCGUGUCGGACCGUGCACAGUUCCCUGGAACGGGGCGUCAUAGAGGGUGAGAAUCCCGUAUAUGGCACGGACUGCCGAUGCUUUGUGAUACACUCUCAACGAGUCGAGUUGUUUGGGAAUGCAGCUCAAAAUGGGUGGUAAAUUCCAUCUAAAGCUAAAUAUUGGCGAGAGACCGAUAGCGAACAAGUACCGUGAGGGAAAGAUGAAAAGCACUUUGGAAAGAGAGUGAAACAGUACGUGAAAUUGUUGAAAGGGAAGCGUUUGAAGUCAG
rnacentral:rRNA from 1 species